AAAAAAUUAUUUACCACAGAGUUUAUGAAAGUUGUCCAUAAGUACUUUAAAAUCAUAUAAAUUUCGUCAAACACAUUUUCACCUGGAGCAAAGUGAUCUUAAAUAAGGACAAGUUCCGGCCUUAAAUGCGUUGAACGAAAUCUUGAAAUUU